CCAUGACCGGUGGGGACUCACCAGCUGAAAACCUUAUGUAGACUAAUUUGGUCAAUGAGAAGAAAUAAACCACAAGGGAAGACACAGAGGAGACCCAGGGUCGGUCAGAGAUAGGGGAGCUUGAGAAAUCCAGUGGGCCAGUCAUAGACUUACUCUAUUUCCUUCUACCAUGUAGGAAACAACAUGAAGAAGCCCAUGAUCUUUCCCCCUGCCACCUCCACCCCAGAGAAGAAGACCCAGAGUGUAACCCCUGUGGGAAUCCCACAGCCCGCCUCCAAUGGUUUUGCUACAGAACCCAGUCCAACCUGGGUUUGCCCUGUUGUGGUCCCCAGCCAGGUCUCUUCUGCCAGCCCCAAGGGAGCCCCCCGAACAGUACGGACAGCCACCCAGGUGUAAAAGAAUCCCCAGGUGGACCUUUGUCCCUGACUGACUGAGAAACCCUCGAGUACCUUCCAGUCACCCAAGCCAGAUCUCGGCUAAAGACGAUGGAAGCCUUCAUUCCCUGUUCCAUCACCCUGGUCUCUGGAAGCCCCAGGCCUGAGGCUCUGUGCACCUUCCCAGAUCCAGCUUCCUACCUCGAUUAAAGCCCCUUGCCCUAA